rnacentral:rRNA from 1 species
GACGAACGCUGGCGGCGUGCUUAACACAUGCCAGUCGAACGGAAAGGCCCUGCUUUUGUGGGGUGCUCGAGUGGCGAACGGGUGAGUAACACGUGAGUAACCUGCCCUUGACUUUGGGAUAACUUCAGGAAACUGGGGCUAAUACCGGAUAGGAGCUCCUGCUGCAUGGUGGGGGUUGGAAAGUUUCGGCGGUUGGGGAUGGACUCGCGGCUUAUCAGCUUGUUGGUGGGGUAGUGGCUUACCAAGGCUUUGACGGAUAGCCGGCCUGAGAGGGUGACCGGCCACAUUGGGACUGAGAUACGGCCCAGACUCCUACGGGAGGCAGCAGUGGGGAAUAUUGCACAAUGGGCGGAAGCCUGAUGCAGCAACGCCGCGUGCGGGAUGACGGCCUUCGGGUUGUAAACCGCUUUCGCCUGUGACGAAGCGUGAGUGACGGUAAUGGGUAAAGAAGCACCGGCUAACUACGUG